UACGUAGGAGACGAGCGUUGUCCGGAGUUACUGGGCGUAAAGGGUGCGCAGGUGGCGGCGCGCGUGGGGGGUGAAAUCGCCCGGCUUAACUGGGCGGGGGCCUUCCAGACGGCGUGGCUUGAGCAGCGGAGGGGGACGUGGAAUUCCGGGUGGAGCGGUGAAAUGCGUAGAUAUCUAGAGGAACGCCCAAGGCGAAGGCAGGCAGCUGGGCCAAUUCUGACGCUGAGGCACGAAAGCGUGGGGAGCAAACGGG
rnacentral:rRNA from 1 species